rnacentral:ncRNA from 1 species
GAAGAAACGUUGAAGAGGAAUAGUAAGAAACGGAUGCUUUUCAGAGAACUGCCGGCGGGUGCGAGGCAGGAAGCGGAUUUUUCCGAACUCACCUUGGAGUUCUUCUGCCGAAGUGCGGAAUGUGUGUGCUGCAUAUCGUGAAGGGCCGAUUACUGAAUGGAUCGAUCCGGAUUGGACCAGCCGCCGGCCAUUGUAAGAUUCUGCGGCAGUAAGCAGGAGCGGGUCUUCCCGUUACAGAAGCAAUGAGUGCAUCCGGCAGUAUGUUUCGGAUGAAUAAGAGUGGUACCACGGAAAUCCAAAGCCCUUUCGUCUCUUAA